rnacentral:rRNA from 1 species
UACGUAGGGGGCAAGCGUUGUCCGGAUUUAUUGGGCGUAAAGCGCGCGCAGGCGGUCUUUUAAGUCUGAUGUGAAAGCCCACGGCUCAACCGUGGAAGGUCAUUGGAAACUGGGAGACUUGAGUGUAGGAGAGGAAAGUGGAAUUCCACGUGUAGCGGUGAAAUGCGUAGAGAUGUGGAGGAACACCAGUGGCGAAGGCGACUUUCUGGCCUAUAACCUACGCUGAGGCGCGAAAGCGUGGGGAGCAAACAGG